CCCUUAGAUGUUCUGGGCCGCACGCGCGCUACACUAACGAAUGCAACGAGCUUAUAACCUUGGCCGAAAGGUCUGGGUAAUCUCCAAAUUUCGUCGUGAUGGGGAUAGAUUAUUGCAAUUAUUAAUCUUCAACGAGGAAUGCCUAGUAAGCGCAAGUCAUCAGCUUGCGUUGAUUACGUCCCUGCCCUUUGUACACACCGCCCGUCGCUCCUACCGAUUGAAUGGUCCGGUGAAGCGUUCGGACCGUGGCCUUUGGACGGUUCGCCGUCUGUUGGCUGCGGGAAGUUCGUUAAACCUUAUCAUUUAGAGGAAGGAGAAGUCGUAACA
rnacentral:rRNA from 1 species